AGGAUGAACGCUGGCGGCGUGCCUAAUACAUGCAAGUCGAGCGAAUGGAUUAAGAGCUUGCUCUUAUGAAGUUAGCGGCGGACGGGUGAGUAACACGUGGGUAACCUGCCCAUAAGACUGGGAUAACUCCGGGAAACCGGGGCUAAUACCGGAUAACAUUUUGAACCGCAUGGUUCGAAAUUGAAAGGCGGCUUCGGCUGCCACUUAUGGAUGGACCCGCGUCGCAUUAGCUAGUUGGUGAGGUAACGGCUCACCAAGGCAACGAUGCGUAGCCGACCUGAGAGGGUGAUCGGCCACACUGGGACUGAGACACGGCCCAGACUCCUACGGGAGGCAGCAGUAGGGAAUCUUCCGCAAUGGACGAAAGUCUGACGGAGCAACGCCGCGUGAGUGAUGAAGGCUUUCGGGUCGUAAAACUCUGUUGUUAGGGAAGAACAAGUGCUAGUUGAAUAAGCUGGCACCUUGACGGUACCUAACCAGAAAGCCACGGCUAACUACGUGCCAGCAGCCGCGGUAAUACGUAGGUGGCAAGCGUUAUCCG
rnacentral:rRNA from 1 species